ensembl:snRNA U4 U4 spliceosomal RNA
AGCUUUGCUCAGCAGCAGUAUUGUAGCCAAUGAUGUUCAUUUGAGGCAUGAUUACUCCUAAUUGAAAACUUUUCCCAAGCAAGUGUCUUGUCUGGGCUGAUGACUUCAGCCUCAUGUCAAAGUCUUGGGUGUCAGAGAUUAGG